UUUUUUUUACUACCUGCAAACCAAAACAGAUUCAUGGCCAAGCUUAUUCCCACAAAAGGGUCGAAACAAAAGGAAAAUGGUCUGAUUGUCUGCUAAAGUUUAUUCAGUACGUGGGUGGAUGUUUUGUUCACCUUUACAGUGGCAUCUUUACCACAGCUGUUACCAGCAUCACUCGUCAUCAUCAUUAAUCCUUAGUUACGAUACAUUCUUUCUCCAAAUUACUAACAUCUUUCCUGAUUUAUACCAUAAGAUAAUCCAUCUAUUAUUCGAUUGCAAAGUAAUAGAAUGGUAAGAGUUUCGACUAAGUUCAAAUAAAUCCAAAGUUUGAAUCUUGACAUCAAGGUAAAAUAAUACAUAGGUGUGUGAAAAAUGGUAAGACUCAUCCAUGUCUCUGCCCUCCUCCCAACCCAUUACAUGACGUCAGAAAGAGCUCGUACUUCACAUUCUCGGACCGAAGGACAACCAUGCUUUGUUGACAUCUCCGAAAGGCAACCAAUUAUACCCCCUAGUGAUCCUAAACACAUGCACAUGUCCCUAUGCCCGAACUUGCUCCCUAAAUAUUGCAGCAUCAACAUUGCAAUUCAGAGUCCCCCAAACAAGACCGAUGCCCACUUGAGCCACAUUAGUUGAUUAGUCGAUUUCGCCCUAGCUCCCGCUAACCGAUCGUAGCCACUCCACCAAGUCACUAAUCCUUGAUUAAAGAGUUAAACAAGUUGAUAUCACACCUGUGGUAACUCAUGCACAUACCAUUGAAGAAAGUUGCCAUGUGUUAGAAUCAAGGAUUUGCCCACCACCAUUGAUACUGAAAUUGAAGAAUGCUAGCUAGCAGGCAGCAACGGCUCCUUUUCAUUUGUCUUUCAACAGAGCAAGUAACAACAACCGUUGCCUAAACUGAAACCCAAUAAAGAGCAGAAAAAAGGGUUGGGUGGUGUAGGCUAGUUUGUCUGAAAUCAAUGUACAUUUUGCACUUCCAUUUACUCUUCUCCAUCCACUUGGCAUCCUACAUUAUUACUUCUUCUUCGUUAGCUCUCACCAAACUUUACAUACACUUUUUCGGUUAUAAAUACUGUGAGCCUCAAAGCAAAGGCCACUCACUCUAUUCAUUAUUAUUAAAAAAAAAAUAUUGGUUGUUUGGUGCAGAUUAUAGUGACUUCAAAACUGUGGCUCUGCAGGACCAAACUAUGAGCCCUCCAAACUCAAUGAGUCCCACCACCAACGGCAAUGGUGUGGCUAUGAAUGGGGCGAAGAAGCAGCUCGAUUUCGACCCGAGUGCUGCCCCCCCUUUCAAGAUUGCAGACAUCCGUGCUGCAAUUCCGCCGCAUUGCUGGGUGAAGAACCCCUGGAGGUCGCUCAGCUACGUCCUGAGAGACCUCCUUGUCAUCCUCAGCUUCGCCGUUGCGGCGGCAAAGCUGGACAGCUGGACUUUCUGGCCUCUUUACUGGGUUGCUCAAGGAACCAUGUUCUGGGCAGUCUUUGUUCUUGGACAUGAUUGGUAAACUAAUUUCACAUUUUCUUUCUGGUAAUGUGGGUUUUAUUGAAAAAGAUUAAAACUUUUUAUCUGGGUUGUUGCAUGCAGUGGCCAUGGGAGCUUCUCAGACAUCUGGUUGUUGAACAAUGUGAUGGGACAUAUACUCCAUUCCUCAAUCCUCGUACCUUACCAUGGAUGGUAUUGUAACUAUUGUUCAAUAUUAGAUUAUUGCUAGUUCUUCAGCUGAAGAAUCCAAACCCUAAUUUUCUUUUUCUGAAUAUUGACCAGGAGAAUUAGCCACAAGACCCAUCACCAGAAUCACGGCAAUGUGGAGAAAGAUGAAUCCUGGGUUCCUGUAAGUUGACAUGCAGUUUGCUGUAAAAAUGCAGAGUGCUCUGUUUUUUUGUGUUCUUGUGCUUUAAUGGUGAUAAUAAUGAAAUUGUUGAAAUGUAACAGCUACCGGAGAAAGUGUACAAGAGCUUGGAUACCAGCACUAAGUUCAUGAGGUUCACCAUUCCUCUCCCAAUGUUUGCUUAUCCUAUCUACUUGGUAAGUAAAGAGACUGAUAAGACUCCAAAGUAGGAAUUAAUGACAAUUUUGGACCCGAGCUUCCGACUCGGGUCGAUUUAUUUCGGGUGGGUACUUACCCGAUGCGGCGGACAUUGUUUUGCUCGUGGUCCACCUCGCUCCCAACCCGCCCCAUUCUUGACGAAAAAGAUUACGGAAUAUGUAUCAACAGAAAUAUCUAGUUUUUAUGUUACUAGUUUUCUGUAUUUCCGUGUUUUUCCCCUCAAUUCCGUCAGAAAUUUGAAUUCAAACUGACAUUGGGUAAUUCUGUCCAUAAGAGAACGGAAUUGGGAAGCCGUAAUUAGUUGGAAUUAGACCUCGAUUUCGGCGGAAUUGGACCCGGCCAUUUUUCGCGUCCGGAAAAGCGUUUCCAGUGGAGUUAGACGCCCAUCUAGAAUGGGUCCAAUUCCACCCCAAUUUCGGGGCUACCUAUUUUUAGUGUACAUGCAUUUUAGAUCUUUUACGGUCUUACCCCGAUGGAUAUUCUUGUCGCGCUCUAUUAAAAACUGACAAUAUACAGGUUGAUUGUGAAUGAAGAUUAGGUGCUGCACGCUCUUCGUGUUCCAACCCGCACCCAAACCGCCCCAUUCUCGACCGAAAAGAUUUUAUGAAUACAUAUCUACAGAAAAAUCUAGUUGUCAUGUCACUAGUUUAAUGUACAACAGUAUAGGUGUCGUUUUCCGCGUCUUUUUCUUCAAUUCCGGCUGGAAUUCGCAUUCAAACAGGAAUUGGAUGGAAUUGGUCCCGGAUGCAUAGUCAUUUCCCAGGCAGUUUCAUGGUUUUAUAACCAAUCAAUCUAAUCUUAUGCUUUUGAUAAACAGUGGACGAGAAGUCCGGGGAAGAAAGGGUCGCAUUUCAACCCAUACAGCGACCUAUUCGCACCAAACGAGAGGGCAGCGGUCUUGAUUUCAACAUUGUGCUGGACAGCCAUGGCCUUACUCCUCUGCUACUCAUCGUUCAUAUACGGCUUCGCUCCGGUCCUCAAAAUCUACGGCGUACCUUAUCUGAUAUUCGUGGCAUGGCUCGACAUGGUGACCUACCUUCAUCACCACGGGUACGAGCAGAAGCUGCCGUGGUACAGAGGCAAAGAAUGGAGCUACCUACGUGGAGGGCUGACGACCGUUGAUCGAGAUUACGGGGUCAUCAACAACAUCCACCAUGACAUUGGCACCCAUGUCAUUCACCAUCUCUUCCCUCAAAUGCCACACUAUCACCUUGUGGAAGCGGUAAACAAUUUGAUUAUUAAUUUACUGUUUUUGUUGUUAUAAUUUGAGUCGGGAGAUUUCCUUCCUAAAUCCGAUCCCUGGUCAAUCUUGGCCCUUGAAUCUUCAUAUAAUCUAAAAAUCUAGAUUAAUCAGGAACAAUAUGAUCAUGUUGUUUAAACUAAUUUUGUUGGACCAUAACCUACCGCCAACUGAUGGACCACCGUCUCUGGUUACCGGACCCAUCAUUUCCGGUUACCAAGAAGUUUCUCGAUCAGUUUUCCGGUUACUUUGACCUGCGUUGAGGAAAAUUCUUUCACCCACGUAAACACUGUCGUCAACUUUACGUUUCUGGAAAGUUUUUCCGAUGAUUGGCCGUACAAUUUUGUACGAAGAGUUGUACGGAUCAUAUAAAUGUGUAUAAGUUUCUAGAAAUCCGUACUGAAAUAUAUACAUAUUUGACUUUUGUAUAAAGUGUAAUACUAAAUACUAUACUAAGUGCUGUACUCAGUAUGAUACUUAGUACACACAUUUGUAUGACUAUGAAAUGUCAAUUUUGCCCUUAUAUUCUCAGCCGUUAGAUCUAAGACACAGUUUUUAUACGGCUGAAAUUUGUGGGGGCUUUGUAGAUCGGAUCCAUAAGUCAUUUCUUGGCUCAAGAUUCGGACUCGAUUAUUAACUAUAUUAUUCAUCAACUCUGACGUUUGAUGUUGCAUGUGACAGACUCAGGCAGCGAAGCACGUGCUGGGGAAGUACUACAGAGAGCCGAAGAAAUCAGGGCCUUUCCCAUUCCACUUGUUUGGGUACUUGGUAAGGAGCCUGGGCGAGGAUCACUACGUUAGCGACACAGGCGACGUCGUUUUCUAUCAGUCUGACCCACAUAUUCCCAAGUUCCGUACCAGCAGUGCCACCACCAAGUCCAAAUCCAGCUGAUGAUAUUUGGCUCUGAUAUAUGCAGGCUGUUUAUCUUGUCCUUUGUUCGUUUCUUUCUCCCAGAAACAAAUUCUCUGUUUCUAUGUUUCUCUGUCUCUCCCGCCCCCAGCUUUCUUUCUGAGUAUAUCGUAUAAAGUUUCGAGUGAUUGUAAAAGCAGAAAAGAAGAAAAGAAGAAGAAUAAUAAAGAGGCUAAGCAACUGCUCUCUGGUUGCGUUGUCAUGGACUCAUGGUUGUUAACAUUGUAACAAAAGCAGAGAAAUUAUGCACUAGUAGUUCUUCUGGGUAAAUGAGUUAUGCUUUGCUAAUGAAAUGAUUUUGCAAUAAAACGUUCGGAAGCGGCAGCCCUAUAGGGUUUCGACUGUGUUCUGACCCUUCCUUUCCUCAACUUAUUGCCGCACCUUUAUCGCGGUGUAGGGUUCCGAGUACUUUACAUCAACGAGUUCCUACGCAUAAUCCGUGUUAUUUCCUCUUUUGGUCCAAAGCUCGUGUUCUGACCUUCCUUUCCUCAACUUAUUGCCGCAACUUUAUCGCGAUGUAGGGUUCCGAGUACGUUACAUCAAUGACUUCCUAUGCAUAAUCCGUGUUAUUUCAUCUUUUGGGUAUUGGACCAUACAAGGGUUCGAAGUGUGUGUUAGCAUACCUUAGCUCACGUUGAGCUCAAGUCGACUCUAGUUCGACUCGCGAACAAUCCUUAGCAAGCACAAUUACAAAAAAUUAGAGCUCCACUCAAACUUUGCACACUAACAAUCAUCGAUGAAGCUCUACCUCAAUUUAUCCCAAGAUACAUGAGUGUUCAUCUAUUACUUUACCUUAUACAAAAACAACAGUAUUUUUACAUAAUAUAUGCAAAUAAGAGACAUGCUAAUUAUUAUUGCUAAAUGACAAAAUGGUAAUUUAAUUUUCUAUUUUAUACGACUUAUUAAAAACGCUGCAUUUGAAUUCGCUUCCUGCAAUUCAAAUGCAUGAAAACCAAGUUUCCAGGAACUUGCAAGUGGAAAAAUAACUCGUAUGCAUCAUCACGAAAUGACCUGAAAUGUCACCGUACCCUCCAUAUCCCUUCACUGUCUAGAUUCUGCUUAUAUCACGACCAAACACCAUCGUUGUCAUCCAGUUAACAGCAACGUAAAACCUGUUCCUCCAGCUUAUCACUCGCGUAAGGUAUGCUGACCGCCAUAUGAACCAGCUGACGAAACCAGCUAAUGAUAUCCCUUUACCUUCCUGUUUUCCCACCAAAACAAAAAAUGGGUCCACCCUUCUGGAAAAAAACCAGCAAAAGGAAAGCAAGAAGAAAAAGAGUCUUACUUUGCUCUGUCUAAGAUCCACAAGAGCCUUGUACCGCCCUAGGGUCGCCAUGCUUCCCAGAUGCUUGUAGACAAAUGGAGUUCCGAAAUCUACUUCUGCUCCGCUGUUUGCCCGCCCUCCACCAGCUUUACCGAUUCGAUUUAGUAGACUUGCGAGAUAUUUACCUUGCCUCUCUGCAACCUGUUGUAAGUAACAUCACUAGCUCAGACUGUGGCAUUUCCUCAGAACGCUAAAGUCGGUAGCUUUUUCACAGCUUUACCUGAGCUAAAGCGGGCAGGACUGGUUUACCAGUACUCUCAACAAACCCACUGCAGUCACCAAUUGCAAACACAUCCGGCACAUUCGGUACCCUUAGCCACUCAUCAAUCCCUAUUCUGUAAAAACAAAUGAUGUACCAGAAUCAUUGGCCAGAAUCAUCCACAGAAUGCACAGAAUCUAACCUAUACUUCUAACAUGGAUUCUACUAUUGGUAUAUCAAAUACAUUUUCCACGUAACCAGUUUUGAAGGUGCAGAUAAUUUGACAGCCUAAACAGCUUACCUUCCACCAGGAGCUUUGGGCAAGUCUAGAGAUUUAACAAGAGGCGAAGGGCCCACACCGGUAGACCAAACCAGUAAGCCAUAAGGAACCUCUGUUCCAUUAUCAAGAACUAUCUUGUCAGCCUCGACAUCCUUGACAAUGCCAUGAACAAGUCGAACUCCUGACUAGAAUGCACAAGAUAAUUUUACUUACUCCAUAUUACAAGCUACUACUAGACCAACCGAUCGAAAACAUUGAAAAGGGAUCGGACAACUUUCAAGAUUCUAACCUUGGUCAAUUGUUUUGUAGCAUACUGCCGCAGACGAUCAUCAAAGGAAGACAAGAUCUCAUUUGCCUGAUAGCAGCGGAAAAAAGAACAGAAUCUCCGUAUUACUUAUUCAACACAUAGUCCAAAAAGCUAUUUUUAUUAAGAGUAGGUGAGGAAACCGAAACCUCAAUCAAAGUAACGCGGAUGUAAUCUUUGACAUGAGCAUGCCUUUGACGAACAUCUCUCAUGAUGAAAUCACUAAGCUCUCCGCUGAAUUCAACUCCAGUUGGGCCACCUCCUACAACAACACAAUGUAGCAAUCUGCUCUUUUCCUGCUCUGUAGUGCCUGCAAAUUACCAAUCAAAACAGUUCCUUCACUAUUAAUCAUCAUAGUGGUUAAAAUAGCAUUUCUCUGUCACUUUUCGGUUUUGCUAUUUUACUAAUCAUCCAGCAAAAAAGAUCAAACCUGGGACAUCAGAGAGCAUCAAAUUCAGGAGCAGCUUCCUCCGAAUCUCCUGAGCUUGAUGAACUUCUCUGAGAAAAAUGGCAUGCUCUUUGACUCCCUGGAUUCCAAAAGUGGUGGCCUCCGCUCCUAAUGCGAUCACCAAUUUAUCAUACGCUAUGGUGAAUUUCCAUGGCUCCACUGCGUUUGGUCCAUCAGUCACCGUCUCACACUUCACCUAAACCCCCACCUAAUCGUUACAAAAGAUACAACAUUUCCAAGAUCACUGCAAGUGAGAAGCAAAAAAACGUACCAAAUGAUUGUGAGGGUCGAUCCCUUUGCAAUUGGAGAGGAAGAAAUACGAUCCGGGUUCGGAAGAAAUGGCGGGUUGGAUCCGACCCACCGGCUCAGCAACAGACCUGAAUUCGAGAGUUCCGACGCAGGUGGAAGCAAGGAGAGGGGUGAAGACCAUGUGAUUCCUGGGGGAAACGCAGACGACGUCGUAUAAGGUGGUGUCGAUUCCUUUCAUCAAUCGGCAGCCUGCCCAUCCGGAUCCCAACACCACCACCCUUGCCUUCUCGCCGCUUGUCGUGGGCUUCAAGCUUCCGCAGUGAGUCGGCGACGGAGACAGAGUCGGAUGAGGAGGAGGGGCGCUGUCGGCGGCGACGGUGGUGAAGUAGGAGAGCGAGGUGGCGACGGGUGUGGUUCUGAUGGGCGGAGGCGGGAAGGAUUUGACGGUUGUUGAUAAUCGGGUCAAGGUCCGAAACCAGGCCAUGGUGAUUUGGUUUAGAGCAGUGAUGAUUGAAAAGAAGGAAAGGUUGGAUUGGGAUGUAGAAAGAAAUAGUUUUUGGUCGUGGGCUGCGGGAAUUUUGGGACAGCAUUGGAUCGGAAAUUGGAGUGCAUCAGCAUCAGCUGGUGAUUCAGCAGAAGGAAAAUGGGCUAAGCAAAUUUUUAUUGCGAUGCGAAAGGGAAACGUGGAAGAUUAUUGGCGGGUCCGGUCCUACCACAGAAUACUGGAACCGGAUCCGAGGUAGGUCCCUUGCUUCCUUUUCGCCGUAUAUAUCCAACUCUGUUGAAUUCUUAUUUCAAGUUAUGCGGCAUUAUUUGCUUGUCUGGCGGGAAAUUUUAUCUGAAGCUUUUAUUUGCAUUCCAUCUAAACUUUAAUCUUGAAAGUACGUAUCUUUGUGCAUUACGGUAAUCUGAGUUUUGGAUAGUGGUAGUAAGUCCUUGAUCAUCUCAAACUUGUGUAGGUUUCUGGGUACGUUGGCGAUGAACAACUGGGAAAAGCUUUGGAGGGAUCAGAUAUCGUAAUCAUACCAGCUGGCGUUCCAAGGAAGCCUGGAAUGACCCGUGAUGAUCUCUUCAAUAUUAAUGCUGGAAUUGUUAAAGGUCUUUGUCAAGCAAUUGCCAAGUACUGCCCUCAUGUAAGUUUGAAUUCCUAAAAUCGACACCUCAUGCACCAAGUUCUGCCUACUUCUUCAUCUGUUACUCGUUUUUGUUGUUACCUGCGAACUGAUUAAUCUCCACCGACGUGGAAUUAAGCGCUCGUGAAUAUGAUUAGCAAUCCAGUGAACUCAACUGUUCCGAUAGCGGCUGAGGUCUUCAAGAAAGCUGGAACUUAUGAUGAGAAAAGGUUAUUUGGAGUUACUACUCUUGAUGUGGUCAGGGCUAGGACUUUCUAUGCUGGGAAGGCCAAUGUCCCUGUCGCAGGUCCGUUUUUUAGCUUGUUUCUCAGUCGAUACAUCUUGUAUCUGUCUCCUAGAUUUUCCUCCAAGGAUGGUUUAUCCAAUUCUAGCUCACAUGUCAAUGUGAUGGAGAAUGGAACUGAAAUAACAUCCUUUGUCAUCACUAACUUUGGUUUUAUGGUCUUGAACUUCACCGAUUGCCACUGAUUUCUGCCAGUAACAUAACAAUUUUACUUUGUGGUGAUGCAUUUUUUAGUUAAGUUGGUUUGUAACUGAAUUGUGCAGGGGUCAACAUUCCAGUUGUAGGAGGGCAUGCCGGUGUAACAAUUAUCCCAUUGUUUUCACAGGUACUUGUCUCUCUUUGCUCAUGUGUUUUCGUAGUCUUUAUUCCCACGUUUCAUCCCUUCUGUCUUCGUUGUUGAAUUGACGAUCUUUUUGUUUUACUUCGUAGGCCAAUCCCAAAUAGAACUUUUCAGGUGAAGAGAUAGUUGCUCUUACAAAGAGAACUCAAGACGGUGGCACGGAAGUCGUGGAAGCAAAGGCUGGAAAGGGCUCUACAACAUCGUCAAUGGCGUAAGUUGCACUGUCAAUAAAUAUCCAUGCUUCUAGACAUGAAUUAAGUUAACCUGCAUGUAUAGUGAUUUUCUCAACCCAGUAAUUAUUUGAAUGAGAUGAUAGAACUUCUGGUUACCAACUUGUCUGGUUAUCUUCAUUUUCAGCUACGCCGGUGCCCUUUUCGCUGAUGCGUGCUUGAAGGGGCUCAAUGGUUUUCCAGAUUUGGUCGAAUGCACAUUUGUACAAUCGAAUGUAACCAAACUUCCUUUGUUUGCUUCAAAGGUGAACAAGAAACUCCCAGGAGCUUUGGCUUAAGUCUUCAUGGGAACUCAUAUCAAGUGUGUUUUACUUCCCAUCUUCUUCCAGUUACUGAAUCAGUGUAUGUGUAUGCCGGGAUGUUUUGCAGGUGAGACUGGGAAAGAAUGGCGUCGAGGAAGUCUUGGGAUUGGGUCCUCUUUCUGACUUUGAGAAACAAGGGUUGGAAAACAUGAAGUCUGAGUUGAAAUCCUCCAUUGAGAAAGGAAUUACCUUUGCCAACAAGUGAUUGAUGAACUGAACCAUCUCUAACAAGUAGUCUCAGGUUGCUGGAAAUAGAGCUACGAGUUUUUGUUUGUUGCACUCAAUAUUGGAAAUUUGAGGUGAUUGAUAUAUAGUUGUUUGGCCAUCACGAACAGACACAAAGGUGGUCAAUCGAUAGCUUUUUAUUACUGGAAAAUGCUCUCAUUCGUACAUUUUAUUUCCUAAUUCAUAAAUCAUAUUCAUUAUUCUGUUACAAUAACUGAUCAGCCGAACAGGGCAGAGACCGGAGUAGGCGCCGGAGCGAUGACUUUCUGGUGGCGGAGGACUACGUCGGCUGGUGGAGGAUGUUUACAAGGGUGACGUGGAUCAUGGCAUGGGUUGGGGCCAGUAGGUGGAUAAUCAUCUAUCCCUACUCCGUCAUUGAACCACUCUGUUACAAAAUUCAUCACAUAGAAAAUUUAUGCACAAUUAGGGUUAUUCAUAAGCCGAGCAGAAAUCAAGUUGUCGUCUUGCUCUGCCAUAUGGCUUGAGUAAGCUUGGCAAGAAAUCAACACGAAUAAGUUAAAUAGAUAUAUAGUUCGAUAAUCAUGAACUCAUGAUAACUGAUUUUGGCUCGAGGUCGAAAUAAAAAGUAAACAUUUAAAAUGGACUAGGACUUGUAACUCUUAAUUCAAUGUUCAAACUUAGUUACUAAUUGUCGAGCAGCUUGUGUGCCCUUAUUGAGCUAGCUUGCGAGCUACCGUACAUCAAGCAUUGAUGAGCGAACUCGCGAGUCUGAUUGAUAAAGCACACGAGCCCGACAGACCGAGCUCCAAACGAGAUUUGAAGUAGCUUUUACAAGCCAUAUGACAAGUUGUUCACUCACUGCUUGUCACACCCUAGUCAUACCUCACACAAUGAGAUAUAAAAGAGACGGGUUGCGAGCUUGACUCGUCGAACUCAAGAGUUGAGACAAGGUUUAUCCAAGCUCAUCUCGUCUAAUAUCUAACUGAAUUUUGAACGAUUUUUUUAAAUAGUUUUAUAAGGCGAAUACAUGUCAAACGACUCACUCGUUAGUGAUUUGGUUCAUCAGUCGAUGCAUGUAGAAAUUAGAUCGCAGAGACUAGAAGAGAUGUAAAAUUUACCAGAGACUGAGAAUGGAUCACGAGCAGCACAUACAGUAAGGGGUGAAGAAGCAAACAUCAGGAGGGAGAAGAUCAAAGCGCACAGGAAGAACAAGCAGAAAUUACUGCAUCCUAAUUUCAUCGUUGUUGUUUCCUUUAGUGAAUAUCAGAGUGAUGUUUGUAAAUGGUUGGAACAAAAAUGAAAACAAGUACGUGUAUAUAUAAACAAAAUAACAGUCAACUGAUGCUUUGCUUGCAUGUUUAGAAGAGAAAAUAUAUAUCGUCUCAUUGAGAAAUCCGCCAUUGAUUUGCAACAAUCAAUGAGGCUGGUGAGUGAGUUCAUGUAUGUUGCUGUUAUUGGUAACGGACUGGAGGUGAACAAAGUCAAAUUAAAUGGUUAGAAACAAAAAUUAAGCAACAACUCAUGAUUUCAUAAAUUCAUCGACAACUUUGUGCGUGGUGCUAGCUUUUCCGGCCGCCUCGAGGACCGGCGCCUCGUCCUCGACCUUGACUGCCGCGUGCCUUAUCAGGUUCGUGUCCCCGAUUCGCUGACGGUUCAUCGUAGUCUGCCAGUGACACCUUCAACGACCUGCCCUCCGACAACUUACCCUCUGCGAUAAUAAAAGCAAUCGUGUAUGCAGUCAGGAUUUAUCUAUUUUGAUUAAUUUGCUUGCUGAGUUAGCUCACAUGUCAAAAAAAAUGUGCCUAUUAUGACGAUGAGAUGAGAGGCUGAGAAGACUGAUUCAAUUAGACACAUCAUGUCU
rnacentral:lncRNA from 1 species